UACGUAGGGUGCGAGCGUUAAUCGGAAUUACUGGGCGUAAAGCGUGCGCAGGCGGUGAUGUAAGACAGAUGUGAAAUCCCCGGGCUCAACCUGGGAACUGCAUCCGAGACUGCAUUGCUAGAGUAUGGGAGAGGAAAGCGGAAUUUCUGGUGUAGCAGUGAAAUGCGUAGAUAUCAGAAGGAACAUCAGUGGCGAAGGCGGCUCACUGGUCCAUUACUGACGCUGAGGUGCGAAAGCGUGGGGAGCAAACAGG
rnacentral:rRNA from 1 species